rnacentral:rRNA from 1 species
AUGCAGUCGAGCGGUAGCACAGAGAGCUUGCUCUCGGGUGACGAGCGGCGGACGGGUGAGUAAUGUCUGGGAAACUGCCUGAUGGAGGGGGAUAACUACUGGAAACGGUAGCUAAUACCGCAUAAUGUCGCAAGACCAAAGUGGGGGACCUUCGGGCCUCAUGCCAUCAGAUGUGCCCAGAUGGGAUUAGCUAGUAGGUGGGGUAACGGCUCACCUAGGCGACGAUCCCUAGCUGGUCUGAGAGGAUGACCAGCCACACUGGAACUGAGACACGGUCCAGACUCCUACGGGAGGCAGCAGUGGGGAAUAUUGCACAAUGGGCGCAAGCCUGAUGCAGCCAUGCCGCGUGUGUGAAGAAGGCCUUCGGGUUGUAAAGCACUUUCAGCGGGGAGGAAGGCGAUGAGGUUAAUAACCUUAUCGAUUGACGUUACCCGCAGAAGAAGCACCGGCUAACUCCGUGCCAGCAGCCGCGGUAAUACGGAGGGUGCAAGCGUUAAUCGGAAUUACUGGGCGUAAAGCGCACGCAGGCGGUCUGUCAAGUCGGAUGUGAAAUCCCCGGGCUCAACCUGGGAACUGCAUUCGAAACUGGCAGGCUAGAGUCUUGUAGAGGGGGGGUAGAAUUCCAGGUGUAGCGGUGAAAUGCGUAGAGAUCUGGAGGAAUACCGGUGGCGAAGGCGGCCCCCUGGACAAAGACUGACGCUCAGGUGCGAAAGCGUGGGGAGCAAACAGGAUUAGAUACCCUGGUAGUCCACGCCGUAAACGAUGUCGAUUUUGGAGGUUGUGCCCUUGAGGCGUGGCUUCCGGAGCUAACGCGUUAAAUCGACCGCCUGGGGGAGUACGGCCGCAAGGUUAAACUCAAAUGAAUUGACGGGGGCCGCACAAGCGGUGGAACCAGGUGGUUUAAUUCGAUGCAACGCGAAGAACCUUACCUGGUCUUGACAUCCACAGACUUUCAAAAAAAUGGAUUGGUGCCUUCGGGAACUGUGA